AUAGGCCUCUAUCUCACAACCCUGAGAUCAUGACCUGAGCCGAAAUCAAGAGUCGGAUGCUUAACUGACUGAGGCACCCAGGUGCCCUGAGAUUGAUACUUUUUAAAAUGAUGUUUUAGGAAAGUUAUUGUCUGAAAUGGCUUGGAAAAUCUGUUGUGAUUAGAGCAAGAGAAACCAUUUAGGAAGGUUUUAUAAUGAUUGAAGGAUGAAGGAAAGCACUGUAUUUCUGUAGAAGAAACUCCUAGAAGUUGGAACUGAAUUCCUGGAUUAAAAAGGCCUUUAAAACAAAUGGUGUAGGAAGCCCGGAGAAAGGGUACUGAAUGUGGAUAAUGGAUCAUGAUUUUCAUGGCAGUUUUUAGAAAGUCGUAAUAAAGGUUAACUAUUUGUAAAGUGUUUCACGAGACAAUGAGGAAAUGGUUCAAUGCCUCAGUCAGGGAGAAUUCCAGUGACAUCUGCAGUGGAGAAUUAUGUGGAGGAUGGGAAACAGAAGAGGCCAAGAUUGGAAGAGCAGAUUGAGACACUUCAAAAGUGGACAUUGCUGAAAGUGGGUGUGUAUACAGGUAAUUAGAAGGCAGUAGGUGUAGAAAUGAAACAAAUUAAUUGGAUUGAUUAUUCUAAAUAAUUUUAUAAAUCUAAAAAUGACAGUGUUUUGCAAAUUGUGGAUCAAAGAAGAUGCCCAUCCUUUCUUCAACAAAUUAUGAGCCAUUAAAUAUUUCAGAAUUUUAAGAUUUAAAGCAUUGCAUUUUGACAAUGUAAUUGUUACAAGAAAUAAUGAUAAGUUAGAACCUAUUAGAAGAUGUGUUUAAAAUCAGGAGUUAUUAGAUUUAUAAGAUGGAUAUGUCUCACAUUUACUCAUGAUAGUGAACAAUUCAGAGAAUGUGGCUCAUUUUGGUUAUAUAUAAACUUAAAAAACUGGUUAGUGGGGGAUGAAUAUUUGGACUUGUUAUAUUUCAAUACUUACUAAAAAUUUGAAUAAAGUUGUUUUUCACUAUUUUCCUGUGAAAUUUUUGUAAGAUGACUUUUAAAAUAUAUAUAUUUAAAGACUCCAUUAGACACAGAUAGUAAGUGAUGAUUACUGCUUCUCCUUGUAUACUAACAGUAAAAGUCUAGUUUCUCAUAGAAUUUCUUCUUCUGAGUUGUGCUUUGUGUUAGGCUCUUGACUUGCGGUGAAGAGGGACACUUUGAGAAACACCUUUGAAAGAUUUUCUGCUGCUUUUACUAUUAGAAUGUUGAGGAAUUUAUCUAAUUUUUUUCUUCAAGACCAGGUUGGAUGUUUUACCUUCUCUGUUUUUGUUUAACUGUUUGACACUAAGACUCAGUAUAAUUGGUCAUGUUUUUCUUUUCACUCUUACUGUCAUGAAUUCAGAUCCAAAAUUAAACACUAAGUUUGUAUAUUAUGUUUCAGUGUUUCUUCCCAGUAUUUAUGGUUUACAAAUAAGAACCUAUGUACUUAACGGUUAUCAACCACUGUGUCAAGCCCAUUUUGAGAAUGAGAGUAAAUAAAAGAAUGAGUUCAUUGCA